CGUUGUUCGGAUUCACUGGGCGUAAAGGGUGCGUAGGUGGUUAGGUAAGUCCGAUGUGAAGUCUCCAGGCUCAACCUGGAAAUGGCAUUGGAUACUAUUUAGCUUGAGGAGUGGAGGGGGGACUGGAAUUCUCGGUGUAGCAGUGAAAUGCGUAGAUAUCGAGAGGAACACCAGUGGCGAAGGCGAGUCCCUGGACACUUCCUGACACUGAGGCACGAAAGCUAGGGGAGCAAACAGGAUUAGAUACCCUGGUAGUCCUAGCUGUAAACGGUGUGUAUUUGCUGUAAAAGGAAUCGACCCCUUUUGUGGCGUAGCUAACGCGUUAAAUACACCGCCUGGGAAGUACGGUCGCAAGAUUAAAACUCAAAGAAAUUGACGGGGGCCUGCACAAGCGGUGGAGUAUGUGGCUUAAUUCGAUGCAACGUGAAGAACCUUACCUGGCCUUGACAUGCACAUAGUAGAACCAUGAAAGUGGGACGAGGUAGCAAUACCAGUGUGCACAGGUGCUGCAUGGCUGUCGUCAGCUCGUGUCGUGAGAUGUUGGGUUAAGUCCCGCAACGAACGCAACCCCUGUGUCCUGUUGCCACCCGGCCGAGAGGCUGGAGCACUCUGGACAGACUGCCUCAUCUAAAUGAGGAGGAAGGUGGGGAUGACGUCAAGUCAGUAUGGCCCUUACGGCCAGGGCUGCACACGUACUACAAUGCCCGGCACAAAGGGAAGCAAGACCGCGGGGUGGAGCAAAUCCCCAAAAACCGG
rnacentral:rRNA from 1 species